UUUCUCCACGCAGAAUCCGGGAGUAGGAGACUCAGAAUCGAAUCUCUUCUCCCUCCCACCUCCUGUUUUCAGCUUUGUGAGAAACCUUAUCAUCAAACACAAUGGCCAGCAACGUUACCAACAAGACAGAUCCUCGCUCCAUGAACUCCCGUGUGUUCAUUGGGAAUCUCAACACUCUUGUGGUCUAGAAAUCUGAUGUGGAGGCAAUCUUUUCGAAGUAUGGCAAAACUGUGGGCUGCUCUGUUCAUAAGGGCUUUGCCUUCGUUCAAUAUGUUAAUGAGAGAAAUGCCCGGGCUGCUGUAGCAGGAGAGGAUGGCAGAAUGAUUGCUGGCCAGGUUUUAGAUAUUAACCUGGCUGCAGAGCCAAAAGUGAACCGAGGAAAAGCAGGUGUGAAACGAUCUGCAGCGGAGAUGUACGGCUCCUCUUUUGACUUGGACUAUGACUUUCAACGGGACUAUUAUGAUAGGAUAUACAGUUACCCAGCACGUGUACCUCCUCCUCCUCCUAUUGCUCGGGCUGUAGUGCCCUCGAAACGUCAGCAUGUAUCAGGAAACACCUCACGAAGGGGCAAAAGUGGCUUCAAUUCUAAGAGUGGACAGCGGGGAUCUUCCAAGUCUGGAAAGUUGAAAGGCGAUGACCUUCAGGCCAUUAAGAAGGAGUUGACCCAGAUAAAACAAAAAGUGGAUUCUCUCCUGGAAAACCUGGAAAAAAUUGAAAAGGAACAGAGCAAACAAGCAGUAGAGAUGAAGAACGAUAGGUCAGAAGAGGAGCAGAGCAGCAGCUCCGUGAAGAAAGAUGAGACUAAUGUGAAGAUGGAGUCUGCGGGGGGUGCAGAUGACUCUGCUGAGGAGGGGGACCUACUGGAUGAUGAUGAUAAUGAAGAUCGAGGGGAUGACCAGCUGGAGUUGAUCAAGGAUGAUGAAAAAGAGGCUGAGGAAGGAGAGGAUGACAGAGACAGCGCCAAUGGCGAGGAUGACUCUUAAGCACAUAGUGGGGUUUAGAAAUCUUAUCCCAUUAUUUCUUUACCUAGGCGCUUGUCUAAGAUCAAAUUUUUCACCAGAUCCUCUCCCCUAGUAUCUUCAGCACAUGCUCACUGUUCUCCCCAUCCUUGUCCUUCCCAUGUUCAUUAAUUCAUAUUGCCCCACGCCUAGUCCCAUUUUCACUUCCUUUGACGCUCCUAGUAGUUUUGUUAAGUCUUACCCUGUAAUUUUUACUUUUAAUUUUGAUACCUCUUUAUGACUUAACAAUAAAAAGGAUGUAUGGUUUUUAUCAACUGUCUCCAAAAUAAUCUCUUGUUAUGCAGGGAGUACAGUUCUUUUCAUUCAUACAUAAGUUCAGUAGUUGCUUCCCUAACUGCAAAGGCAAUCUCAUUUAGUUGAGUAGCUCCUGAAAGCAGCUUUGAGUUAGAAGUAUGUGUGUUACACCCCCACAUUAGUGUGCUGUGUGGGGCAGUUCAACACAAAUGUAACAAUGUAUUUUUGUGAAUGAGAGUUGGCAUGUCAAAUGCAUCCUCUAGAAAAAUAAUUAGUGUUAUAGUCUUAAGAUUUGUUUUCUAAAGUUGAUACUGUGGGUUAUUUUUGUGAACAGCCUGAUGUUUGGGACCUUUUUUCCUCAAAAUAAACAAGUCCUUAUUAAACCAGGAAUUUGGAGGAAAAAACCCUGGUUUUUUAUUUUUGUAUUUUAUUAUUGUUUACUUCAAACUUUGUUUUACAGCGUCCUCCACAAAACCUCUAGAAUGUACUAGAUACAUUUUUCUUGGAGUCAUAAUCAUGAUACAUACCAACACAACACUACUCAAAUUAUAUUUCAUUGAGUUGCAUGUUGCAUUGAGGAGUCAAAUAACUUGACAUACAGUGGAGAUUGUUUUUCAAAAUGGCUUUUACAUCCUAAUGAAAGUUCAGUGCUUUGUGGUCCAACUGGCACCCUUUUUGAGGUUUUUGUUGUGUGCUAAAUUGUUUUGUCCUUAAAUAGGAGAGACUCAAAAACAAGAUUUCAGGAAAAUUGCAACAGCUGGACAAUGGACUCCCCCUGCUUUCUUCUGUUUUGUUCUUUUAAUUACUAUUUAUAGCCUCAGUUACCUUCUGAAUUCUGAAGUGUAUACCUCCAUGUUACUGAAAAUGAGAAAACUCUUAUUUCCUGAUACUCCACAGUUUGCCUUCCCAGGUGAUUGAGAACAUAAAGAAUGUUACAUUUAUUUUACCCUAAAUGAUCUUUUACCCCAUUAGCUGAUCUUUGUGUUUUCCCUCAACUUUAUUAAUUACAGUGAUUGUAUUUUUAGCAUCCAGUCUUACUUAAAAUGAAUAUAUUAAACAGCUACCAGUGUUGUGAUACCUCAUCCUUGAAAGGCUUAGUUGAUUUGUGUUUUAAACUUCAGUUUUUCCAGCACAACAGAAAAUGACGUUUAUAAUUUUUGUGCACACAAACCUUGGAUUCCCCUAUAAAGUUGCUAUUGUUUCAUAGCAUGCAGCACUGGCCUUUUUUCAUCCUACUCAUUACAGGCAAAACUCAUGUCUUAUUUAUAAGGAUUUUAUAGAUCAUUUUCUAUAUCAGGUGACAAAAGCAGAAAAGAAUGAAGAGGCUGAACUAUGAACUACCCUUGGAGCCCAUAUACAUGAUAUAGGCAAUUUCUUUGGUAUGUUAAUUCGGUCAAAAAUACUACCCACUUGAUGUUUUCUGAUCUGAUGUGAGCUCCUGUUACACAGACUUUUAGUAAGUAACCCAUGACUAGAAAAUAAACUGGAUGCUUAGGAGAGAGUGUCAGAUGUAUAAGAUGCUAAUAAAACAUGUUUAAUAUUA